CGCACAGAUAGCCAAACGCUGAAGGGGCCAGGUCCAGCGCUCGGCUAAACUUGCUGCCUGAGGUCCCCGACGUCUGUUUGGGGCUUUGUACCAUCGCAGCGAGGUGAUGCCAGGAGCACGCGGAUCAACGUGGGACACGCUGCAAAAGUUAGCGAGUGCCUCACGUACAGACUCCAAUGGACGGCGGCUGUGAGAGAAAAUACUAGAUGGACGCGGAAAGUUGAUGACUCGGAGAUGUCUGAGGUGUAGAAUUUGAGCCGAGCAAGGAGACGCACGCCUGUGACCCGAGUACUCUGGGAGGUUGAGGCCGGAUCGCAAAUUCCAACCCAGCUUAGCAGUUUAGCACUUGAGGAGACUGUCUCAAAAAGAGUGCGGGGAAGUGAGACUGGGGGUGUAGCUCAGUGCAAAGGUCCUGGGUUCCAUCCUCAAUACCGACCACAAAUCGCGUCUCAGAGUGAGGAGGCGGUGCCUGAAGCAAGGCUUCUCACACUAGUGAGACAAAUCGACGAGAACAACAUUCUUAUCCAGUUCCACUCUAUGAAUGCAGUGCAGUUCAGAGAGGUCACGACAGAAUUGUGAAAAGAGAAAAGGCAUCUACACAUGCAAAUCUUGGCAGUUUACUGAAGGAGACCUGUGAGGCACAGGGCCCUCCUACGCCCCAGCCCCAGUCCCCGGCGCCCUGACCUGCGGGGUCGGCCGCUCUCCUCGGGGGGCAGGACGGUAAUGCAGACCUUGGGUGCCAAGCGCAGCAGCUGGGCAGCGGCCUCAGGGCCGAGGCUGGGCAGUGUCCGACCGCACACGCGCAGCAGGCGUGCCCCAGGCCGCAGCCCCGCCUUCUCGGCGAAAGUGAAGCGCUCCACGUCUGUGAUGAAGCCCUCGGCGUCCACUUCAAAGCCCAGGCGGCCCUGACCAUCUCUGGGCGGCGCCAGCUCGCGGGUCUCGCAGCCCCGACUCACCAACUACCGGGCAGCAAGGGGGCGGGGCGUGGGUGAGGCCGGCCCAGCGCCACCCUCUGGGCAGCUCUCCGACAGGUCCAGCGACUGACCCAAACCCCGCGGGGGGACAAGAGGUCAUUUGCCCGAGGCCCUGUGCCAAGGCUGGCUCCGCGGCCCCCAUCCCACCCGAAACGCGGCGCACUGUUGCGGAGGUGGUGGCUGCAGCGCGGGCUCCGCCUCCGGUACACCAAGAGACCGCGGAUGCCUUCGUCCACCCGGGCUCACCUGCAGGCGUGUGACAACCUCGCCCACCGCUUGGCCAGGCGCCCCGUCGAACCGCAGUGUGAUCGCCUCCCCGCGACCGUGGUACAAGUCGAGUUGCUGCUCCGAGAAGGUCCAAGCCAGCACGUCGCGACAAGCACAAUUGAAGACUACGCGGCCAUCGCGCGGCGCCACCAGUACCAGUGUCUCUGCAGAGAUGCCCAGCAGACAGGGCACCUCGGCACCCUCGGGGCCUCCCGCUUCGGCUCCCGCUGCGACCCGAGUCCCCGGGGCCGCGCGCACGCCCCAGGUCAGCGCACCCGCCGCCUGCAGCUCACAGCCCGGGCCCCGAGGGGUCGCCCGGCGCCUGCCGCCCAGGGAGGGCAGGCCAAAGCGCGAGGCAGAGUCCAGCGACGUGGUGGUCACUUCGUUAGUGGCUAGGUCCUGUAAGUACUGCUGGCGUGUGCGCGUGGCCAUGGCAUGGAACUGGCGUGCGUGCCCGGCUGCCUGCUCGCCGUUGAGCGCCUUGGCCAGCAGGAAGGCGCGGAAGUCAGCAUUGGCUGCGAAGGGGCCUCCUCCGGGGGGCAGGGCUGGCCCGAAGGCCGGAGUGUCCUGAGUGCGGCUCACGGCCACCCUGCGUGGAAGAAGGCUGCAUGAGGGACGGCAGGGCAGGUCAAGGACUCGGUGCCCACAGGAGACCUAGGGCUACCCUGGCCCUCACCUGUAUGAGGUGUGCGGGGUGCAGGGUGCGUGGGCCCGCACCACUAUGAAUAUGUGCUGGAAGUGGGAGCGGAUGGUGGUGGGGCAGAAGGGCUUGCUGCCGGGCUCCUGGAACACGAUGGUCACAAUGUCAUUGCCGAUGUGGCGCUUCCUCAGGAGCUGCGGAUUAGAUGGUAAGGAGUGUUAGAGGGGCCGCGUGAUCUCCCCAAAUCCUCAUUUGGGCAAGGGAAAACCUUGGCACCAGUGGCUUCCCCACCUGCCCCUGUAAAGCCCUGAGAUGUUUGUCUUUGAGAAGCUGCCACAGGCCUGUUGGGGUCAGCAGACUAAGGUUCAAAGAUUGCCACCCUUGCAGCACCCUCCAGGGGUCCCCAGAAGGCCUUGGCCAUUCCCCAGCCCUGUCCUAGACCCCGAAUACCUGCUGCUGGUUAUUUGGGGUAUAAGGCAGCAUCGUGGAGACGUGAAACAUGAUCUCGUGGUCCUGGUAGGUGGUGUAGAGGGAGUGUGUACCUGUGGAAUCCGCUGUGGCCAGCAAGUUGGGGACACAGAGAGACAGCUAAGGGAAUCUUGAAUCACCUGUCCCUGUUCCCACUCGGCAGCAUCUGUGGCCCCACCAGCAGGUAGAUGACCCCUUCAUAUUACCAGCCAAGGCCUAGGCCACCAAGUCCAAGCCUCAGCCUCUGCUGCUUAGGAGUGGGGACGUGGUAAGAAUGGGCUCAGAGGAAGGCAGGAAGUAGGUGUCCCAGGGAAGGAUGGGUGUUGGCAUGAGCAUGUGGGGCACACUGACAAGUGGAAGGCAGCUAGGUACUCUGGGGCCUAACAUCCAGGGAGGCAGGGACACCUGCCCAGAGGCCAGGCUUCUGGAAUGUGUCAGAUUUAGGGGCUGUGCCCCUAAACACCCUGGCCACAGCUCAGGCAGUAGAACACCAGGUUCUUGGGGGACAAUCCCAGUCCCACCACCAGGGUGCCUACCCAAAGAGCUCUCUAGCAUUCAGCCCCAGCCUUUGGCCAAUAUGGACAAAGAAGUGUCAAAGUGGUUCAUUUGCCCCUCACACGGGACUGCCCCCAACCCUCCAGUGCCCUGCACCUCACUUUUGGUGUCCAGCUGGGCCCGAUAGCUGUCAAAGCCCUUGAGCCGCACCACGUCACCCAGCAAGGUGAGAAACUGCGUGAAGGCCACUCCCGCCUCCUCGUUGUUGUACAUCUCCUCCUCCGUGCCCUGGCCUGAGCGACAGUACAGGAUGCCCACCUUGCGCUGGAAGCUCAGCUGCGGGAAGGUCACAGACACCUCAGGCUUAGUCUCCCCUAGCCCCACCUCCACCGAGUCAUGGGGAAACAGUCAGGACACUGGCCAACAGGUGGGCUGCCUCUGUGUGUCUCCCCAGCCACCUCGGAGUCCUUGACGAUCACAUGGGUACAGUCUGCCCUGCUCCCAGUGCUCAGGGGCCACUAGAGGAGUCACCAGAGGGACGGAAUGGGGGGAGGUUAGUUUUCCAGUGACAAUAGAUGAAGGGAGUUGUAGAAAGAACCCCACACAGUGCAUAUGGUCUCAAUAAAUGUCCACGUUGGCAUCCUCAGCUGGCGGCCACACUGUUGGCCGGGGCCUUCAAAUUCUAGGUAGUUCUCCCUCACCUCCUGAGGGCUUGAGCCAUCUCAGCCCCGCCCCGCUCCCUGUCUCUGCACACUGCUCUGGCCCCUUCUCCUCUGCACUGAUCCCAUUAAAGCUCUGAUCCCAUGGUCCCCCCACCUCCCAUGUUCAGAAGCUUGGCAAUGGGGCACUUGGCGGGCAUGUGUGAGACCCUGAGUUCCAGCACCUGCACCACAAAAUAAAUAAAUUUAUGACAGGG